AUCACAACUCCUUUUUGCUCUUCCCUUCCUAUAUGCAGAAACUCAAACAGGAAGUACUGUGACAGAAAUGCUUGUACGAACUCGAACCCAGGCACAGAGAAACACAGCAAGCAGAGCCCAUGGGGCUCAUUUUGGAAGCAGAAGAGGAGAUGCUGCCAACAACCAAAACUCAGUGGGUGCCCUGUGUUGCAUUCUGAUGAAGCACUGCCUCUUCUUCAUCACUUCGGCUGUUUCAUUCCAAGAUGUUCCCCCCUCUACUUCUACCCUCGUUCCCUUCCUUUAGUGGAUCUGAGACAACUGGCCUGACCAAUCAGCCUGCCCUGACCUCAAGCCUGCCUGCCACUCUGUACCUCCUGGACUCUGAACUUGUUUUGACCUUUGGCCUGUCCACGACCAUUCUCUUGCCUACCCCUUUUGGAUGUAAUAAAUAUCAAAGACUCAAACCACCUUCUUCCCGUGUCUGCAUCUGGGUCUCGCCUUGUGCCCUUAUACUCACUUGCCCAGUCCUAUCAGAUCUAUAACGGGAGGGAAGUGAAUGAUGGCACGGGGAGGGAACAUCUUCUUGGAAUGAAACACACCCAUGUUGCUACCCCAGACUUACCUUGAAUAAAGACUACUACAACCGAGUGAUCAUCAUAAUAAAUCAUGGUAUUAUGGAUGCAUUACUUUAAUACAUACAUCCAUUGAACUGUAGCAUCGCACUUUUCAAUGAUUGAUGUUUUUUUUUUAGGUCUAUGUUAGUGCAUUCGACACGCUUUCCCAGAACAUAUUAUUCUAUUUAUUAAAUUAUUCAGAGAAUACAAUGAUAUGCUUCGUGAGUUUUGUAUGUAGGCUACAUGAUUUAUGCAGUUGUCUACUCAAUUUAGUGUUAAUAUACUGUAUGUGUACUGUAUUAUAGAAUAGAUAACUACAGAGGUAAUGUCUAAUGUUUUCUUCCAAGCCUAUCUAGGAAUGGUCAAAUUCUCUUCACUGCUGCGGCACAUUCACAUACUGUACCAGUCUAUUCAACAUCCCUUUUCUGAUCACAAGUGGAAUCGAUGUGUUUUAGGACAGAAACAGUAUCCCAGGUUCCGACCUCAUAAUAUUUGUCCGUUUUCCAGGAAAAAUCGUUUACACCUAAGUAUUAAUUUAUCCUGUCAGAUCUCACAGUGCAAUUAGUGGGCCCAGCCGUAUGUCUUAGAUAAGACGGCAGUAGUGCUCUAGUGGUCACAGAGGCUCGACUUUGCAUCCUGUUCAUUAAGAGCUGUAGAUAAGCAAUUACAAUUACAAUUGGGACAUGGUAUGCGUCCUGAAUGGCACCCUCGUACUUUUGCGUUACUUUUGACCAAGGCUCUGCACUAUAAAGGGAAGAGGGUGCCAUUUUAUUUUAAAUCUUUAUUUAACUAGGCAAGUCAGUUAAGAACAAAUUCUUAUUUACAAUGACGAACUACCCCGGCCAUCCUAAACAACGCUGAGCCAAUUGUGCGCCGCCCAAUGGGACUCCCAAUCACAGCCGGAUGUGAUUCAGCCUGGAUUACUGUGCACUAUAUAGGCUCCCAAGUGGCACAGCUGUCUAAGGCACUGCAUCGCAGUGCAAGAGGUGUCACUACAGUCCCUGGUUCAAAUCCAGGCUGUAUCACAUCUGGCUGUGAUUGGGAGUCCCGUACACACAUGCUGGUGGUGCGCACAAUUGGCCCAGUGUCGACUGGGGUAGGCCAUCUUUGUAAAUAAGAAUUUGUUCUUAACUGACUUGCCUAGUUGAAUAAAGGUUAAAAUAAAAUGGCACCCUCUUCCCUUUAUAGUGCAGAGCCUUGGUCAAAAUGUAAAAAAUUAUUACUGUGUACUAUAUAGGGAAGAGGGAGCCAUUUGGGAAACAACCGCCUUCCAAGUGUGCAUAGGGAGAGACUUUCUAUUAUUUGGGGUUCUUCUUUUCAGUUCAUUCGUUUAAAAACUAAAAGUAGUAUGAUUUGUUACUUUAAAUGCAGGUAGUUGAAGCUUUAAUACACACACACACAAAUCACAACCCCAACUUUGCAACACACGUUUAUCCCAGUGUAAAACGGCCCAGGAGAAGAGAAAAUGGUAUUGAUUUUUUAAGACUGCAAGCCUGCUAAUGGGCCGGGAGUUUCAUGACAUCAUUAAUGACAUCAUCAAAGUGAGUCUGUAAAAGGGUGUAUAUUGUGUUGAUUAACUUCCAGCCAUUACACUAUAGUGAGUUAUACAAGACACAAUGCUGACUUAGGUCCAGUCUGGACACUGGCCUGCCAUUAAUACACACACUUACGCACGCACACACACACACACACACACACACACGGGGCCCAACCAUCACCUGACGUCUCAAGUCACGUUGAUGUCUGGGUAUGGUGCACUCUCAGCUCUGCUCCGCUCUGCUUUGCUCCGCCUACAGGAAGGAAGCUAGCAGACAGUUUCAUCAGCCAAACAGAACAAAGAGUUUCACUGGGCAUUGUUCUGUCUGCCCACCUGCCUGCUGAAGUCUAACUGUCUAACUCUCUCUCUC
ensembl:lncRNA